UACGUAGGGUGCGAGCGUUGUCCGGAAUUAUUGGGCGUAAAGAGCUCGUAGGCGGUUUGUCGCGUCUGCUGUGAAAUCCCGAGGCUCAACCUCGGGCUUGCAGUGGGUACGGGCAGGCUAGAGUGCGGUAGGGGAGAAUGGAACUCCUGGUGUAGCGGUGGAAUGCGCAGAUAUCAGGAAGAACACCGAUGGCGAAGGCAGUUCUCUGGGCCGUAACUGACGCUGAGGAGCGAAAAGCGUGGGGAGCGAACAGG
rnacentral:rRNA from 1 species